rnacentral:rRNA from 1 species
GACGAACGCUGGCGGCGUGCUUAACACAUGCAAGUCGAACGAAGAGCGAUGGAAGCUUGCUUCUAUCAAUCUUAGUGGCGAACGGGUGAGUAACGCGUAAUCAACCUGCCCUUCAGAGGGGGACAACAGUUGGAAACGACUGCUAAUACCGCAUACGAUCUAAUCUCGGCAUCGAGGAUAGAUGAAAGGUGGCCUCUACAUGUAAGCUAUCACUGAAGGAGGGGAUUGCGUCUGAUUAGCUAGUUGGAGGGGUAACGGCCCACCAAGGCGAUGAUCAGUAGCCGGUCUGAGAGGAUGAACGGCCACAUUGGGACUGAGACGCGGCCCAGACUCCUACGGGAGGCAGCAGUGGGGAAUCUUCCGCAAUGGACGAAAGUCUGACGGAGCAACGCCGCGUGAGUGAUGACGGCCUUCGGGUUGUAAAGCUCUGUUAAUCGGGACGAAAGGCCUUCUUGCGAACAGUUAGAAGGAUUGACGGUACCGGAAUAGAAAGCCACGGCUAACUACGUG